ACCCGAAACCAGGUGAUCUACCCUUGGUCAGGUUGAAGUUCAGGUAACACUGAAUGGAGGACCGAACCGACUUACGUUGAAAAGUGAGCGGAUGAACUGAGGGUAGCGGAGAAAUUCCAAUCGAACCUGGAGAUAGCUGGUUCUCUCCGAAAUAGCUUUAGGGCUAGCCUCAAGUGAUGAUUAUUGGAGGUAGAGCACUGUUUGGACGAGGGGCCCCUCUCGGGUUACCGAAUUCAGACAAACUCCGAAUGCCAAUUAAUUUAACUUGGGAGUCAGAACAUGGGUGAUAAGGUCCGUGUUCGAAAGGGAAACAGCCCAGACCACCAGCUAAGGUCCCAAAAUAUAUGUUAAGUGGAAAAGGAUGUGGCGUUGCCCAGACAACUAGGAUGUUGGCUUAGAAGCAGCCAUCAUUUAAAGAGUGCGUAAUAGCUCACUAGUCGAGUGACACUGCGCCGAAAAUGUACCGGGGCUAAACAUAUUACCGAAGCUGUGGAUUGUCCUUUGGACAAUGGUAGGAGAGCGUUCUAAGGGCGUUGAAGCAUGAUCGUAAGGACAUGUGGAGCGCUUAGAAGUGAGAAUGCCGGUGUGAGUAGCGAAAGACGGGUGAGAAUCCCGUCCACCGAUUGACUAAGGUUUCCAGAGGAAGGCUCGUCCGCUCUGGGUUAGUCGGGUCCUAAGCUGAGGCCGACAGGCGUAGGCGAUGGAUAACAGGUUGAUAUUCCUGUACCACCUAUAAUCGUUUUAAUCGAUGGGGGGACGCAGUAGGAUAGGCGAAGCGUGCGAUUGGAUUGCACGUCUAAGCAGUAAGGCUGAGUAUUAGGCAAAUCCGGUACUCAUUAAGGCUGAGCUGUGAUGGGGAGAAGACAUUGUGUCUUCGAGUCGUUGAUUUCACACUGCCGAGAAAAGCCUCUAGAUAGAAAAUAGGUGCCCGUACCGCAAACCGACACAGGUAGUCAAGAUGAGAAUUCUAAGGUGAGCGAGCGAACUCUCGUUAAGGAACUCGGCAAAAUGACCCCGUAACUUCGGGAGAAGGGGUGCUCUUUAGGGUUAACGCCCAGAAGAGCCGCAGUGAAUAGGCCCAAGCGACUGUUUAUCAAAAACACAGGUCUCUGCUAAACCGUAAGGUGAUGUAUAGGGGCUGACGCCUGCCCGGUGCUGGAAGGUUAAGAGGAGUGGUUAGCUUCUGCGAAGCUACGAAUCGAAGCCCCAGUAAACGGCGGCCGUAACUAUAACGGUCCUAAGGUAGCGAAAUUCCUUGUCGGGUAAGUUCCGACCCGCACGAAAGGCGUAACGAUUUGGGCACUGUCUCAACGAGAGACUCGGUGAAAUCAUAGUACCUGUGAAGAUGCAGGUUACCCGCGACAGGACGGAAAGACCCCGUGGAGCUUUACUGUAGCCUGAUAUUGAAAUUCGGCACAGCUUGUACAGGAUAGGUAGGAGCCUUUGAAACGUGAGCGCUAGCUUACGUGGAGGCGCUGGUGGGAUACUACCCUAGCUGUGUUGGCUUUCUAACCCGCACCACUUAUCGUGGUGGGAGACAGUGUCAGGCGGGCAGUUUGACUGGGGCGGUCGCCUCCUAAAAGGUAACGGAGGCGCUCAAAGGUUCCCUCAGAAUGGUUGGAAAUCAUUCAUAGAGUGUAAAGGCAUAAGGGAGCUUGACUGCGAGACCUACAAGUCGAGCAGGGUCGAAAGACGGACUUAGUGAUCCGGUGGUUCCGCAUGGAAGGGCCAUCGCUCAACGGAUAAAAGCUACCCCGGGGAUAACAGGCUUAUCUCCCCCAAGAGUUCACAUCGACGGGGAGGUUUGGCACCUCGAUGUCGGCUCAUCGCAUCCUGGGGCUGUAGUCGGUCCCAAGGGUUGGGCUGUUCGCCCAUUAAAGCGGUACGCGAGCUGGGUUCAGAACGUCGUGAGACAGUUCGGUCCCUAUCCGUCGUGGGCGUAGGAAAUUUGAGAGGAGCUGUCCUUAGUACGAGAGGACCGGGAUGGACAUACCUCUGGUGUACCAGUUGUCGUGCCAACGGCAUAGCUGGGUAGCUAUGUGUGGACGGGAUAAGUGCUGAAAGCAUCUAAGCAUGAAGCCCCCCUCAAGAUGAGAUUUCCCAACUUCGGUUAUAAGAUCCCUCAAAGAUGAUGAGGUUAAUAGGUUCGAGGUGGAAGCAUGGUGACAUGUGGAGCUGACGAAUACUAA
rnacentral:rRNA from 1 species